AGUACCGUGAGGGAAAGUUGAAAAGUACUUUGAAAAGAGAGUGCAAGAGAACGUGAAACCGGUAUAAUGGAAGCAUAUGGAGUUGACGUAUCUGCUAUGUAUUCAGGUUGUAGUUCCGACUGCAAUCGCACUUACAUACGGAGUGUGCCGAGUAAUGUGAUGGUGUAGGUUGAGACGUUGCACAGAGGAGACUCUCGCAAGAGAGUAAACCCUAUGCACGAGUAGGCCUAUUGCUGUUACAUUUAAAAAAGUUGAGGUCAACAGACGUGUGUGUUGUUGGAGUUUGGGUUGACGUGAUGUAUGCACAUGUGUAUGCGUCGUGUUCGGCUCAGGCAUCAACCCUACACACACUCUACAACUCAACUCGGUAUCAUAGUCAAUGACCCAUUUGACCCGUCUUGAAACACGGACCAAGGAGUUUAUGGUAUACGCGAGUCAGUGGGCUUGAACGAAACCCAAAGGCGUAAUGAAAGUGAGAGUGGCUCGACCGCUCAUAGUGUAAGGUGUGUGUGUGGUGAACUGUGAAGUGAACUUUGCACACACCGCCACACUGCCCUUUGUCGAAUCAUUCGUUGGUUGGUAAAGCGGUUGAGCGUAUGCCAUGAGACCCGAAAGAUGGUGAACUAUGCCUGAACAGGAUGAAGUCAGAGGAAACUCUGAUGGAAGUCCGAAGCGGUUCUGACGUGCAAAUCGAUCGUCUGAUUUUGGUAUAGGGGCGCAAGACUAAUCGAACCAUCUAGUAGCA
rnacentral:rRNA from 1 species